AUUGAACGCUGGCGGCAGGCCUAACACAUGCAAGUCGAGCGAGCGGCGGACGGGUGAGUAAUGUCUGGGAAACUGCCUGAUGGAGGGGGAUAACUACUGGAAACGGUAGCUAAUACCGCCUACUAUCAGAUGUGCCCAGAUGGGAUUAGCUAGUAGGUGGGGUAACGGCUCACCUAGGCUACGAUCCCUAGCUGGUCUGAGAGGAUGACCAGCCCCCCUGUGACUGAGACACGGUCCAGUCUCCUACGGGAGGCAGCAGUGGGGAGUAUUGCACAAUGGGCGCAAGUCUGAUGCAGCCAUUCCGCGUGUGUGAAGAAGGCCUUCGGGUUGUAAAGCACUUUCAGCGGGGAGGCGUUACCCGCAGAAGAAGCACCGGCUAACUCCGUGCCAGCAGCCGCGGUAAUUC
rnacentral:rRNA from 1 species